ACAGACCAAGGUCAGGCCCUCAGUACCUACCCAGACAAGGUCAGGCACACAGAUACCUACAACAGACCAAGGUCAGGCACUGAGACAUCCAACAGACCUAGGUCAGCCCCUCAGACCUCCAACAGACCUAGGUCAGCCCCUCAGACUAGGUCAGCCCCUUGACCUAGUCAGCCCCUCAGACCUAGGUCAGCCCCUCAGACCUCCACAGACCUAGGUCAGCCCCCUCAGACCUCCAAACAGACCAUAGGUCAGCCCCCUCAGACCUAGGUCAGCCCCUCCCAGGCCAGUCAGCCCCAGGUCAGCCCCUUCGGCCUAGGUCAGCCCUCAGACCUAGGUCAGCCCUUCAGACCUAGGUCAGCC
rnacentral:lncRNA from 1 species